rnacentral:other from 1 species
AUGUUUCUGCGAUGUGCGUUAUUCUCAUGUAAUUCAACCGACAUAACAGACACGGGAGUCUUUGGUUCAGUGCUGGAUAACAAGCCUCCUUGGAGAGGACGCUAGAAGGUAUUGACAGGAACCCACCUUUAGAUAGGCGGGUGUGAAUUAGUUGAGAGGACGGCAUUGCGGAAAUUUU